GACGAACGCUGGCGGCGUGCCUAAUACAUGCAAGUAGAACGCACAGUUUAUACCGUAGCUUGCUACACCAUAGACUGUGAGUUGCGAACGGGUGAGUAACGCGUAGGUAACCUGCCUGGUAGCGGGGGAUAACUAUUGGAAACGAUAGCUAAUACCGCAUAAUAUUAAUUAUUGCAUGAUAAUUAAUUGAAAGGUGCAAUUGCACCACUACCAGAUGGACCUGCGUUGUAUUAGCUAGUAGGUGAGGUAACGGCUCACCUAGGCGACGAUACAUAGCCGACCUGAGAGGGUGAUCGGACACACUGGGACGGAGACACGGCCCAGACUCCGACGGGAGGCAGCAGUAGGGAAUCUUCGGCAAUGGACGAAAGUCUGACCGAGCAACGCCGCGUGAGUGAAGAAGGUUUUCGGAUCGUAAAGCUCUGUUGUAAGAGAAGAACGGGUGUGAGAGUGGAAAGUUCACACUGUGACGGUAUCUUACCAGAAAGGGACGGCUAACUACGUG
rnacentral:rRNA from 1 species